GACGUAGGGCGCGAGCGUUGUCCGGAUUUAUUGGGCGUAAAGAGCUCGUAGGCGGCUCAUUGCGUCAACCGUGAAAACCAGCAGCUCAACUGUUGGCUUGCGGUUGAUACGGGUGGGCUGGAGUUCGGUAGGGGAGACUGGAAUUCCUGGUGUAGCGGUGAAAUGCGCAGAUAUCAGGAGGAACACCGGUGGCGAAGGCGGGUCUCUGGGCCGAUACUGACGCUGAGGAGCGAAAGCGUGGGGAGCGAACAGG
rnacentral:rRNA from 2 species